rnacentral:rRNA from 1 species
GACGAACGCUGGCGGCGUGCUUAACACAUGCAAGUCGAACGGAAAGGCCCUGCUUUUGUGGGGUGCUCGAGUGGCGAACGGGUGAGUAACACGUGAGUAACCUGCCCUUGACUUUGGGAUAACUUUAGGAAACUGGGGCUAAUACCGGAUAGGAUCUCCUGCUCCAUGGUGUGGGUUGGAAAGUUUCGGCGGUUGGGGAUGUACUCGCGGCUUAUCAGCUUGUUGGUGGGGUAGUGGCUUACCAAGGCUUUGACGGGUAGCCGGCCUGAGAGGGUGACCGGCCACAUUGGGACUGAGAUACGGCCCAGACUCCUACGGGAGGCAGCAGUGGGGAAUAUUGCACAAUGGGCGGAAGCCUGAUGCAGCAACGCCGCGUGCGGGAUGACGGCCUUCGGGUUGUAAACCGCUUUCGCCUGUGACGAAGCGUGAGUGACGGUAAUGGGUAAAGAAGCACCGGCUAACUACGUG